CCCACAUCCCAUGGAGGCCCUGCAUCCUAUUGGGUUCCCACAACCCCCUGUGUUCCCACACCCCGUUGGGUUCCCACACCCCAUUGGGUUCCCACACCCCAUUGAGUUCCCACAUCCCCUGGAGGCCCCACAUCCCAUUGGUGUCCCACAUCCCAUUGGGGUCCCUCAUCCCAUUGGGGUCCUGCAUCCCCUGGAGGCCCCACAUCCCAUGGGGUCCCACAACCCAUUGGGUUCCCACAUCCCCUGGAGGCCUCACGUCCCAUUGGGGUCCCGCAUCCC